rnacentral:rRNA from 1 species
UACAGAGGUCUCAACCGUUGUUCGGAUUCAUUGGGCGUAAAGGGUGCGUAGGCGGCGCGGUAAGUCGGGUGUGAAAUUUCGGAGCUUAACUCCGAAACUGCAUUCGAUACUGCUGUGCUUGAGGACUGGAGAGGAGACUGGAAUUUACGGUGUAGCAGUGAAAUGCGUAGAGAUCGUAAGGAAGACCAGUGGCGAAGGCGGGUCUCUGGACAGUUCCUGACACCGAGGCACGAAGGCCAGGGGAGCAAACGGG